rnacentral:pre_miRNA from 1 species
GCGCAAGUUCCUUACUUCCUUACUUCUCAUAUUGCUUUUUGAAACUUAUGGAAUGUAAAGAAGUAUGGAGCGAACGC